GCAAGCUCUGGGAGAUGGUGAAGGAUGGGGAAGCCUGGCGUGCUGCAGUCCGUGGGAUCACAAAGAGUCGGACCUGACUUAGCAACUGAACAACCACAAAGCUAAACAAUAAUUUAAAACUUCCUAAUCUGAUUAACCUUCAGGUGCUUUUAAUAUUUACUAUAAAUGGAGCUAGAAACUGCUGGCACGGCUGGCGUCCCACCAGGAAUUUUCGUGGAGAUGGGCUUUCAGGAGCUUGUCACCAGAAGAGACCAUCCAGAGUCAAACAAAUCCAGAAAGAGGUUCUGAGUUUUGAAGUUCUCGCCACCCGAGUGUCCAGCAGAUUCACACACACAAAGGCUGUUUUCAGAAAAGGAAGUGAAAGAUAGAUAGGGAAAAAAGUCCCUGAAGUCAGCAUUCCAACUGGCAACACGUGAAACUUUGUAAAUAAAUAGGUCUGCGUUCCUGAGCUCCGGCCCUCCGUGGGCCUUGUUUUCUGCCCCUGAAGUUUUGUCCUGCUCCCUUUAAACAACUUCUGGAAGGGGCAGUUGUUCUGGCCUUGAGAUCAGUCCCCUUGUUCCUUCACGUCAGUGUUUCUUCAUUUGUUCUAAGCAUCUCUGCCAGACGCUCCGAAGAGCUGGCCAUGGAGGCCCAGGACGCUUGGCAGGGCCCUGGGCUGCCCCGGAACACCUGGGAGGUUCUGGAUUUGCUCCUGUUGAGCCUUCCCGAUGUCAGGUCCUUGGCGAUGCUCUAGCGAGGUCCUCCUCCCCGUCUGCUGGGCCUCGGAGCACUGGUGCUAGAAGGCUGACUUUCAAGAGGCGUCUGCGGGUGCAGUCUGCUCUGCCUGCCCUCUCACUGUCUCCCCCGCCCGCGAUGGACUCUCCGCCUCGAAACCGUCUCAGCAGGAGCAGCAACAUGUCCUAACUGUCCUCCUGGCCUGCCCUGGGGCCCUUACGUGAUGCUGCCAAGAGCGUGCCAGGUGCUCUCCAGCUGACUGUGUCCUUCCCACCUUCAGAUCCCCGCCGCUGCACACGACCUUCAGGUCAGGCCCAGAGCUCUGUGCAAGGCGAUGGGGUGGUCGGCCGGGCCGGCCUCCAGUUACGUGUCCACCUCACACAGAGUUACCAUCCCUUCCUCUGUGCCUGCACGUCAGGAGUCCCCUGGCCGGCCGGCCGCCCCUCCGGCUCCUUCAGGCCUGGUCCCUCUUGCCCGGACUGGAGCACCUCCUCCCGCUGUCAUCCUCCGGCGGCAACCUGGAGCAGAACUCGCCCACUGAGCCACAGGACCAGGACGCAGGGCCACGCUCCAGGACACUCGCAUCCCUCAGCCCAGCCCCUCCCAGGCACCAAGUCGGGACUUGAUAACUGGUUGAACCAUAUUGUGGACAGAGGUGGAAGUGAAGAGGGGACCAACUGGGGACCGUCUGCCUGGACUGAGCCGUCAGUCCCAGAAGCGCCCUUGCCAGGGUCCAGCCUUUAGUCCUGAGUCAGGACAGCUGUUGAUGAGAUGAGGAUGAGAUGGUUGGAUGGCAUCACCGACUCAAUGGACAUGAGUUUGAGCAAACUUGGGGAGAUAGUGGAGGACAGGGAAGCCUGGCGUGCUGCAGUCCACGGGGUUGCAAAGAGUCGGAUAGACUGAGUGACCGAACACCAUCAACCGCUAGAGGAUGUCCCCUGAGCAGACAAGGAGAAAUGACCUGGCAUUAUCCAGGUCAUUUACCCAAAUGGCUUCUUAGCAAAAAACGUUAGUAUCCCACCCAGAAAUUAAAUGUGACAACUGAACUUCACUCCUGUACUAAUGUUCUCUUGAUAACCACUUGCCCCAAUAACUUGAGCACAGAACAAGAUACAGUAAUUUACUGAAACUGUGAAGUUUGUCUUGAUAAUACCGAGGAAUUUCUCCAACACUUAGAAAACGUCAGGGAAAAAUUAAGUGGAAUAAACACACCAUGUGCUGGCCAGCUCAUCAGACGACGAAGACUCAGAGAAGACGCCACCAGCUUCACAGACGAUGAGGCCAGAGGGCCGCCUCCAAGCUAAUAAUACUGCUGCUUCCCCUUCCCUGAAAUAAGAAUGUGUUUUUUGCAGAAUUGAAAUUUUUUUUCAAGAAGAUCAAAACUUUUCACACGAAUCCAUCCAUUCACAAAUCAGACAAUGAUCAAGACCUGGUGGCUUGAUUUGGGGGCCAGAACAUUCAGUCACUGGAAGGGAGUGAGUGAGGGGCCUCCGCCCUGCCCCCGCCUCUAUUCCAAGGUCAGGGGCGACUGGGACCCCUGGGCCAGGUGUUCGGCAGGUGUGAGACGGCCGCCCGCUGGGUGGGGUGGCGGGCGGAGGGGUGUGACGCCUUCCUGGUGGAGUUUGGCCCCCCCAGGAGCCCCCGGCUGCAGGACGGUUUCUAGAGGCCAAGACCACAAGGCCGGCCUGGGCGAGCUCUGCCAGGGGCCGGGCGGCGGGGAGGCCCUUUACUCACGUGGGCCCUGGCCCUUUUCCUGGGGGCCUCCUCAGGCCCGCAGCUGCUUCACCCAAACUUGACUUUUCUGAGACUGCCCUGCACCCCCAGCCCACCCCGGGGCCUGACCUUUUGCCCCCACCAGGGGCGCCCCCGCCCCACCCCUCAGCUAGCCCUAGGGUGUCUAGACUCUGGAUUUCCCUGAGAAAAGGUGUCAACAUUCAACUCUACCAGACAAUGGCGGGGCCUGCCUACCCUUGGCAGGGAGCUCCCCACCAGAAGGGCCUGGGAGCUGGGACUGGAAGGAGGUGAGCAUCGCCAGGUGCAGCACGGGGGAGGAAGGGAAGCGGCGGGAGGAAGGGAGGCUUCGAGACCCAGUGCUGCGUUCCCGGACUUCGUGCAGCUGUCAGGCAGGAGAAACCGGGGCGCAAGGCGGGGCUCCGGUCGCCUCUGAGGCCGGGAGCCUGGGGGAGGACGAGCCUGCACCCUGCAGUCUCCCCAGGAGCGGGUGGGCCCUGGGGCUCCCCAGGUGGCACUGGCGAUAAAGAAGCUGCCCACGCAGGACCCCAAAGAUCCCGGGCUCAAUCCCAGGCUCGGGGAGAUCCCCUGGAGGAGGGCAUGUGCCUGGAGAAUCCCGUGGACAGAGGAGCCCGGCGGGCCACAGUCCUUGGGGUCGCAAAGAGUCAGACACAACUUAGCAACUGAAUAACAACAACCCCAAAGCCUGGUCAGGAGGCGCAUGUGCCUGUGGGGACCCGGCCAGGGCCCCCCCCCCCCCGCCGGUUCCCGCUGGGCCCUCAUUGGCCAUUUCAGCUCCGCAGACCGACUGUCUGUUCUCCAUGCGCUGUGCCCCGGGGCAGGGAACAGGGGCAAUUCUGGGCCCCCAUAAAAUUUCACCACCCAGUUUAGAAGUUGAUUCACCUAUAAAUAUACUGUUUGAGGUGGGCCUCACCCAGGGGCGCCCAAGGCAGGAGAAACUGGGCACGAGGGGACGCAGAGAGGCAGUGAGCCACGGCCACCCCGGCACGCUGCUACCGCCCUCCUUCAGCUCGUGGCCUGUGCCGGCUGCGACCGGCAUGUGAAGGCGCUAGGUCUGUCCAGGGCUGCUCAUCAGGACGGCCUGACGCCCAUGGAGCCCCCGGAGCUGCAAACCGAGCCUCUCACUGCUCUCAAAUCCAACGCAGUGGAGUGAAGGGAGGACCAGAGGAGUCGGCAUGAGAAGCAACCACACACCGGACUCAGAAUCAGGAAGGAAACCACGUCUGACAUCCUGAGCCUCCGCCACCCGGCUGUGACCUGAAUAAGCUGUAGCCAUCGCCAUCUAUCUACCCAUCUAUUAAUAUUAUCUAUCUGUCAUCUAUCUGCCUAUCUAUCCACCCAUAUAUCUGUGUGCUUAGUCGCUCAGUCGUGUCUGACUCUGCAACCCCAUGAACUGUAGCCCAGCAGGCUCCUCUGUCCAUGGGAUUCUCCAGGCAAGAAUACUGGAGUGGGUUGCCAUGCCCUUCUCCCAGGGAUCUUCCCAAUCCAAGGAUCAAACCCAGAUCUCCCGCAUUCCAGGCAGAUUCUUUAUUGUCUGAGCCACCAGGGAAGCCCCAUCCAUCUCUCUACUACCUAUUAAUCAUCUGUCUUCAAUCUGUCUACUAUUUGUCCAUCCAUCAUCUAUCUAUCUAUCUAUCUACUAUCUAUCUAUCUAUCUACUAUCUAUCUACUAUCUAUCAAUCACCUAUCUAUCCAUCCAUCCAUCUAUCAUGGAUCCAUCUAUCUAUCUAUUCAUCUUUUCGAGGCCUUCAUUUUCCCAUCCACAAGUGGAGCUGAGGAUAAAUAACACUUUGUAAGCGACAAA